CUCGCGAGAGUAAGCUAAUCUCUUAAAGCCGUUCUCAGUUCGGACUGUAGGCUGCAACUCGCCUACACGAAGUCGGAAUCGCUAGUAAUCGCGGAUCAGCAUGCCGCGGUGAAUACGUUCCCGGGCCUUGUACACACCGCCCGUCAUACCAUGAGAGUUGGGAAUACCCGAAGCCUGUGAGCUAACUAAUAGAGGCAGCAGUCGAAGGUAGAAUCAAUGAUUGGGGUGAAGUCGUAACAAGGUAAC
rnacentral:rRNA from 1 species